rnacentral:rRNA from 1 species
GACGAACGCUGGCGGCGUGCUUAACACAUGCAAGUCGAACGGAAAGGCCCUGCUUUUGUGGGGGCUCGAGUGGCGAACGGGGGAAUAACACGUUAGGAACCUGACCAUGAAUUUGGGAUAAAUUCAAGAAACGGGGGGUAAAACCGGAAAGGAGCUCCUGCCGCAAGGGUGGGGUUGGAAAGGUUCGGCGGUUGGGGAUGGACUCGCGGCUUAUGCGCUUGUUGUGGUGGUAGUGGCUUACCAAGGCUUUGACGGGUAGCCGGGCUGAGAGGGUGACCGGCGACAUUGGGACUGAGCUACGGCCCAGACUCCUACGGGAGGCAGCAGUGUGGAAUAUUGCACAAUGGGCGGAAGCCUGAUGCAGCAACGCCGCGUGCGGGAUAACGGCCUUCUGGUUGUAAACCGCUUUCGCCUGUGACGAAGCGUGAGUGACGGUAAUGGGUAAAGAAGCACCGGCUAACUACGUG